GCGGGCGUGGUGGAACGGUAGACACAAGCGACUUAAAAUCGCUAGGGCGCAUCGCCCGUGCGGGUUCGAGUCCCGCCGCCCGCACCA
rnacentral:tRNA from 1 species